UUACGUCAAAUUAUGUGCCUAUUUUAGUUAAAUAAAUAAAUGAAUUUAAGUCAUAAGCGAAUUAGAAAUUUUAAUAACAAAACAAACAAAAUUUUCCACUUGACAUAAAAGCAUCAACACGUGAUGAUGAUUUAAAACAAAAUAAUUAUUGAAAUACAUAUGUAUGUAUGUAUGUAUGUAUGUAUAUACUUUUUCUGUUGACUGCAUUUAAGUUUUUUUCUUUUGUAGUAAUGUAGUUUAUAAACAACCUUUAAAAUAGUAUUAAGUUUUUGUAAUUUGAAUAAAAUAUUUAAAUAUGAAAGAAAAUUUAAAAAUUUAAUUAGAUGGGAAUAAUAACUAAAUAAUCGUUCCCUUUGCUCCAGAUUUCAUAAAACUUUUGAUACAACAAAUGUGAUUUGGAAUACCUAGUUUAAUGACUAGAUAAAUUUUCUCAACAUAUUCAUCUCUAUUAUCUAAAUGCAGCAUAAACAAUUUAAUGGCCGAAAGAAA